AUGGCGGAGGUGAGCAGAGGAACCGGGCAGGAGCGGCCGGGCUGCGGCGGGCUGCGGCGGCCCCCCGUGGCCCGGCGCCGGCCUGGGGCGCCCGGGGCCCUUCCCGCGGGCCCGCGGGGGGCGCCGGGCGGGGCGGGGGCGGCGGGGCGGCGGCGGGCCGUGGCGGGGCCGGCCGGGGGGCGGGAGCGGGCGCGGGAGCGGGCUCCCUCCGGGACUAGGCCGCGGCGGCUCCGGCCCCGGCGCCGAGCCGGCUGCGCGGUGGGGCCGGACGGGAGGCGGCGCCCGGCGGCCGCGAGCCCGGGCCUGCGGACGGCGCGGCGCGGCGCCCCCGGGCAGCUGACGCGGCCGCCCGAGCCUCGGCGCUGCUCUCGGGGGCCGGGGUGGGUGGAAACCGCCCCCCCCCCCCCCCGCGGCCGGAUCGCCGCGCGCGGAGCGGGCUGCGCCGCUGUCCUGCGGGACGAGUGCGCGGGGCCCCGGCCGGCGGGUCCGGGCUGCGGCGCCCGCGAGCCUCGCGCCCCACUUUGCUCCGGGCUCCGAGGCGAGCGGCAGGUACGGCCGCCGGCUUCGCGGGGGGCGAGCGGGACUCCUCGCCCCGCAGCCCCGGGGGUGGGAAGGCGGCGGCCCGGACUCCGGACGUUACCCCGGGGGCUCCCGGUGGAAGGAGGCAGGGCGAGCGGCGCGGCCCGGGGCUGGUCCCCCGGGACCCGCGAGCUGGGGGGAGGGGGUGGCGCCGCUGCAGGAGCCCCUGGGGCCGGGGCUCGCCGGGGGCCUAGGGAGGGACCGAGCGCCCUGGAAGGAACCAGCAUCUCUGGGACCGCGGGGCCGCGUCUCCGAUUUCGGGAGGGAGAAUGGGGGGUUUGCGCCUUGGCUUGGGGGCGGGUGUCCAGUUUCGAGCUGGCCUACGCUCAGGUCGGAGGACAGCCUCGGAAUCGGGGCUGCCGGGCCCCCGAGCUUGGACUGGGUGCCGGGAGGACGCUGUCCUUCCAGGACAGGGUAUCCCGCCGCGGGGCGCUGUUCGGGUCGGUGGGGAGCCGGGUGGGGUUCGGGGGACUCGCGGGAUGCCGGCGGCCGGGGACCGACGCCGUGAGCCGGCCGCUCGGGGUUCUGCUUCUCCGCCUUGUAACUUGCGGAGCUCGGAGGGGCGGCUCGGAGUUGCCUGCUAGACUCUGGGCUUCGUCCCGGGGCUGCGAGUCUGUGCGCGGGGGACCCGGGGAGGAAGGCGAGGCGGCCAAGAGGGGCCCGAAGGGGGCCGGGAGCGAUUGGAGCGGAGCUGCGUCUCGGACUUUUGGCAGCGGCCGAGCAGCCCUGCGCUCCGCCUCCUCUGCGCCCUGUUGCCGGCGCUGCCUCUUCCCCGGGCUGCGCGAUCUAACCGCACGUUUUCUUCUCUCUCCUAGGCUUCUUUUGGAAGUUCGAGCCCAGGUCUGUCCUAUUUUCUUACCUCUUCAGUGGGUCCCAAAGGAUAAUGGGGAGCUCAGAGAUCUAUUGCCAGAGGUUUUCGUGCGCGCGCGUGCGCGCGCGCGCACACACACACACACACACACACACACACACACAAAUUGGUCCUGCGAAUUUUGCAUCAUUUGUUUUUAA
rnacentral:lncRNA from 1 species